AGUGAGUUGUCUGGCUACAGUUUGCACCGACCCCGUCCAGACCAUCAAAACGUCAUUCAUCUUCCAGUUGCCCGGUUGAAACCGUACUGCUGUUGAUGCGAGCUCUGUAUGAAUACUUGCUGCAGACGCCUAUACAUUUUGAGAAUGUUUUACCAUAUACUCCCUCUGUCUCAAAAUAACUGUCUCAACUUUGUAUUAGCUUUAUUAUAAAUUUGUACUAAGCUUAAGACACUUAUUUUGGGACGGAGUGGAAUUGACAUCAUUUUGAGUAUUCCUUAAGGAGUAAGUUGUAAUGAAGCUAUUGAAUUUUCAAUCUUUCACCUACUUGUGGCAUCUUUUGUGGAGAGUCAAAGAUUUUUCAAGCCACCCAUGUGUUGUUGGAAGUCUUGUUGGGUGGCUCCGGGUCUCCCACGCAUUCUCCUCCAGUAUCUUUGACGCCUGUUUAACACGGCCUGUUGCACGGACAUCGCCA
rnacentral:lncRNA from 1 species